rnacentral:rRNA from 1 species
GACGAACGCUGGCGGCAUGCCUAACACAUGCAAGUCGAACGAGGCCUUCGGGUCUUGUGUCUCAGGGGUGCUUAAGGCGUGGGAACCUGCCCUUAGGUUCGGUAUCUCUCCCCGAAAGGGAUCCUUAUACCGGGUUAUCUCUUCGCGCCAAAGAUUUAUCGCCUUUUGAUGGUCCCGCGUUGGAUUAGCUUGUUGGUCUAGUAGAUGCCUACCAAGGCUAAGAUCCAUAGCUGGUCUGAGAGGAUGAUCAGCACCACUGGGACUGAGACACGGACCAGACUCCUACGAGAGGAAGCAGUGGGGAAUAAUGGACAAUGGGCGAAAGACUGAGCCAGCAAUGUCGCGUGAGUGUGGAAGGACUUAGGGUUGUAAAGCUCUUUUAACAGGGAUGACAAUGACAGUACCGGGAGAAUAAGCGACGGCUAACUCCGUG